CCUACGUGAGGCAGCAGUGAGGAAUAUUGGUCAAUGGGCGAGAGCCUGCACCAGCCAAGUCGCGUGAAGGAUGUCGGUCCUACGGGUUGUACACUUCUUUUGUCAGGGAGAAAUUGGGUCCACGCGUGGACUUAGCGAGAGUACCUGAAGAAAAAGCAUCGGCUAACUCCGUGCCAGCAGCCGCGGUACUACAGCAGAUGCGCGCGUUAUCCGGAUGUAUUGGGUUUAAAGUGUGCGUAGGCGGAAUGUCAAGUCAGCGGGAAAAAUUCGGGGCGCAACCCCUUCGUGCCGUUGAAACUGAUGUGCUUGAGGGGGCGAGAAGUAUGCGGAAUGCGGGGUGUAGCGGUGAAAUGCAUA
rnacentral:rRNA from 1 species